AAUAAGAACACUCUAUAACUCGACUCUACGUUGGCAUGUGUAUUGUUGGUGCAGGAAUUAGCACCUCCGACAAUACCGGCUUAAACCGGAGGAAUUGUGAAUAAAAUAGGGAAUUCGAUUAAACCGGGGUA
rnacentral:sRNA from 1 species